UGUGCGCGUGUGUGUUGUAUUAAGAUAACUUAGGAUCAUAUUCAUCAAUCUAUUGAAAUAUUAGAAUCAACCCUUUGAGCAAAAGAAUGAUAAUUCUGUUAUCCAUCUUAAAAGUUUGAUAUGAUUCAUCUUGUAGAGACACACGCUGUAUUUAUAUAUUUAUUGGCAUAUUCAUUCAAUUUAAUUAUGGCAACAAAGCAGAAAAGAAUAGCUUUUCUCUCAAGAUGAUUCAGUUGUGCUCCUGUCAAAAAUAUCCUAUGACAUGUGGGAAGUCAUUGUUUCGGAAGAGGGGGAAAAAGAAAAUAUUUUAAAAUGAUGAAUUCUUUUCAAAGAAGGAGAACACAAUAUCACAUAGCACAAGUAAUAUGCAGCUGUAAGAUAUAUGUAUACACACACACACCCGCACACACACACACACACACACACACACACACACACACACACACACACACACACACACAAAACAAGCGCAACAUUUGUACACGCCCUGGAUGAAGGCAGUAUCUAUCUAUCUAUCUAUCUAUCUAUCUAUCUAUCUAUCUAUCUAUCUAUCUAUCUAUCUAUCUAUCUAUCUAUCUAUCUAUCUAGCUAGCUAGCUAUUGAUGAAAUUAAACCAAACUUUUAAAAAAAUGGGGGUCAAUGCAAAUUCUACAGUAUUUUUGCGUUUGUAUUCAACAGGACAAAACGUGAGCACAUGAGCUUUUCCAUUUGUAACUAUUCUUCAAGAUGUUUUGUACUAGUGAUUAGUCCUCAGUAAAGAGCAAAUGCCCAUUGAAGUAGCUGUCUCUUGUCAGACCAUUGCCACCAAAGUUAGCUAUAAGCCAUACUUUGUCUCCCCUUUUCAGCUUAAUGUAUGUGCUUCCACUGGCUGAGAUGUAACCUUCCUGCUUGGUGGUAAAUGAGUGCAAAAUGAUUUCUCCGUUACGCAUCAGAUCCACACUCGCCGCAUGCUCAAAGAUGGUGCAGGAGAACUGAAAUUCAUACACUCCUGGAUACAUGCAAGUAAAUAUGCCUGUGUUGAUGUCAUAGCUGUUCUGCCCAUUAUAGAUGACCUCUUGGAAGGGGAUAGGAAUACCGGGUCUGGGGAAAUUAUUGCUCAGCCGUACAGAGAAAGCCAUUUUCUCAGAGCUAAAGGAUCCCGGGGCUCCUGGAGGUCCUGGAAAAGGAAAAACAAAGACAGAUAGAUAGGCACCUGGAGUUCCUGGAAAAGGAAAAACAGAUCGGUAACAACCUUAAAACUGCUGGGUAAUUUUUAACCCGCCAGUUUUAAGGGUAUACAGGCACCCGUGUGUCAUGAAAAGAAAAAACAUCAAUAUGUUUACCUGGAGGUCCAGGGGGUCCAGGAUGUCCAUAUCCUGGAGGUCCAGGAGGUCCAUAUCCUGGAGGUCCAGGAGGUCCAUAUCCUGGAGGUCCAGGAGGUCCAUAUCCUGGAGGUCCAGGAGGUCCAUAACCUCCAGGUGCCAUUCCUGACCAGGGUGACCAGGCUGACCAUGCUGUCCA